UCAUUCACAGAAAUGAGAACCAGAGCCAUAACAGACGUCAAGUUUGACGAUCUCAAUAUUUUUAACAACCGUUAUUUUUGAGCAAAGAGGGACAAAUGACUGAUACUUGGCACCGCAAACACAGCAUCUUAACACAGCUUGAGAUUCAGAAGAACGCAGAGGUCAUCUCGCUUCAUCGGACUAAAGGCCCGUCUCGUCCGGUUUUCUGUUUUGGGCAGUGGCCGGUAUGAGUUGUUUCAGAAAAAAGCAGAAGAAACACCGAAUACACUGAUCCAAAUUUAUCACAAGGGAAAUUUCAUUGACUUCACUGGAUUUCUAGGAUAGAUGAACAUCCCGUAUCUACCUGGGUUCUUCUGUAUCCUGGGAAAUGAUGUAGUUCUUGGUGCUGUAGGUGAGUGAAUUCCGGUGUAUCUAAAACACCGGUCCAGAUCCUUGGCUGUUGU